ACACAUGAUUCUGUUGAGUUUAUGAAGGCAACGGCCAAUCAGAAGUGUUCAGAUGAGUCAUCGCUGGAACACCAGCAUCAUGGCUUCUCUCAUCCAGAGAUAUGGACGUCUCUGAGAUGCAUGUGUGCUAGCAAUAAUAAUAACCCGCAGAUGUAAAGCUGACAGCAGGAGACAGAGGCUGUGGGCUAAAGGUCACACGGUUCUGCUGAACGCCUCGCGCACAUUUCUCCCAGAAGCGAAAGUGAAACGGAGGCUUUAAAGCUUCGGUGUAUCUGUGCUCGUCCCGAAGCCUCGGCGUCCUCCAGGAGCUCGGAGAAACCGCUCUUCUUCCGUUAAUAAGACUCCACGGUGGACUGAUCCUCAGAGGGAGCAGUGUAUUGUGGGAAACCUGCUGACCUGAAGAAGUGUCUCUCUCAAGAUACGACGUUCAUCAACGCUCUUCAUCACAGGACUGCUUCAUCGGUUUACCAGCACACGUCUGAUCUGUAGUGGUGUUGUUUCUCAGCACUUGUCACUUGUUUAAUGUGUUUUCUUCCAUAUGAAGGGAUUCAGCUGUAACGUUUUUUACUCUCUUGCCUGAACGAAGAAAAAUAAACUACAUUCCUCACUGAAUAAUGCCCGGGAUUGUCUGAAUUUCACUAUAACAGGAAUGUUUUCACUAUAACUUUCUUCGACGGAGGAAGAGUGAUGUGAAUGUUCAGGGUGAAAUGAAUGAAGCACAAUCUCUGUAUCAGUUCCAAACUCAUACGCUCGUCUUUCUUCUGUGGAACAAGGAAAACCUGUUGAAGAAUCAAGACAUUGAUAGUCAGUGCGGUCUAAAGUUUCAAGCACCAAAAAGAGCAUAAAUGUGGCGUAGAAGUGAUCGUUCUACUCCAGCGCACACAGGAUCACUUUACACAACAAACACAGGGAAAUAUAAUCGCUCAACUACAUCAGAUCAGCUCGUGUUUACACACCCUUCGGAAAAAGAGCACUUAAAUGAUAUUCUUACAUUACAUAUUUCAUGAAGAACCCAAAGAAUGUUGUGGAAAACUUGUGGGAAAUGGGAAUCCGAUGUUCCCUUCAAGUGUGAACCGAAUAUAACAUUUCAGAUACUUAAGAUUAAAUGCUAUUAGUUGAGUUUAAAGAAUGGUUUUGGCUUGCUUGAAUAAGUACAUCUUGUAAUUUCAUAAUUACUUCUGGUGUCUUUGAGAUAUGGUUAAAGAACUGCUGAAUGUACUGACAAGCAUUUCUGGUCAAUAUACUCCCAGGUGACUGGUUUAUCAGUGUUAUUGAGGACAUUCAUGGUGUUAUUAAUAAUGCCUUCAUAUUUCAUCCUGAUGAACAGACUUCAGCUCUUCCUCUCCCAAUGAACGCCAGUUUACCAAACCUUGAUCGAUAUCACUUAGACCAGAGCAGAACCUGAUGGAGUUUGGUUAGCGUGUCACCUUUGGUUCAUUAGCUGAGAUCUGAAAGUUACAUAACGACUGAAAUCUGUGGAUAAGAGCACACUUGACGUGAGUCCAGAUUAACUGAGGUCUUCCACAGCUCUCCACAUCAACACUCGCUCAUCUACAGAUGAAUCUGAAUCAUGAUCCUUCUUUCUGUCCAUCAGUGAAUCAGUGUUUAAUAAACGCUGUAGAAAUAAAGGUGACUUUGAUGUUAUUUGUGUUCAAACGUAAACAUCACGUGUUUAAAUGUGUUAUGUGAUUUGUGUUUAUGUGUUUAUAUUAUAUUGAAAUGUAAUAUUGUGUUACAGUAACUGAUCUAAUCAAGUGCUUAGUUUGUUUGUCAACACAUCAGAAUAAUUGUACUUCUUAAAAGCACAACACAAGAUUAUUAAUGAUAUCAAAAGUACUUUAAUUCAAAAGUUUAAAGUGCACUUAUUACGUGUACAUUAAUUUGAGUUCAAUAAGUGGCCUCUAGUUUCAUUAAUAGUAUUAUUUUAAAGAUAUGAAGCACAUGGCACCCAAGGUGAGGACAGAUCCAAUAUGGCCACGUGCCGGUAACAUCAAGCCUGAUUGGUUCUUGCGAGUCACAUGAUUUACUGUCACUGCAGAAGAUUGAACCAUUAGAGUUACAUAGAUUACUUUACAAUCACUUCAUGUCCUUUGGGACGCCAGCAGCUAAACACAGCUGAGAUAUUUUAUUUCGUGUUGCUCUGAUGUGUGUAGAUGAUGACAAGCUUGUCCUUUUGGGUGAACUA